GGCAGAAACACCAAGCUUUCAGGAAAUCGUCUAGUUCCAAAGGCCUCAGGAAGAAGGAAGAGGCUGCCUAGACUGUGAGCACCCUGAUGAAAGCAAUUCCAUUUUGUUUUUGCCACUAUCAACCGGCAUUUGAGAAGUGAUGGAAUUCUGUUCGAUGCCAGGGCGGAUCUGCCUCCACAAUGCCACACCCCUUGGACGCUGCCCCACGGACACUAUUCCCAGCACCUGCGCAUUGUCUGGCACAUGACAGCCAAUUGGAGAGGAUGGGGAGAACUAUGAAAGAAUCAGUUUCAUUGCGUGGUGCUUCAAAACUUACAAAGUGGUUUUUUUCCUCUUAUCUGAUCUUUUAUCCAGUAAAACUAGCAGAGCAGGUGGCAUUAUUUCCAUUUUUCAAGACCAGGAAACUGGAGCUCAUAGAGUUAAAGUGACUUGUCUUUGGAUAAAGAACAAAUGACUGUCCAAGUCAGGUCUUAAAAUUAGUCUGAUUUUCUAAGCCCAGUCACCAAUGCUCUCUCCACCUGUAUCUCUAAUGAUUCACAAGCUUUUUGAGAGAAAAAAAUGUCUUCUUUCUGUUCUGGAUUAGAUAUUCAAAGUAAAUGUUUCAUCAACUAUCAAUGUCAUUAAGACAAUAGGAGGAAGUAAUAUAAAUAAAUUCAUGACAGAAAAGAAAGAUUAUCCAAACUAUAUACUCUUUCAAAAACUCCAAACUGCUAAGAGGACUUAUUCUGAAAUCAACAACAUUAACGGGUCUAUGCUAAUAAUGGAUGGGGAACCGGAAGUCUCCAAUCAU